AUAUGUUAUCAAUUUCAAAUGGCAUAUAAAUCAGUGAUCUGAAGACAUGCUUAUAUUAUUUCCUUUCUACUAAGAUAGAUUAUUAAAAUAACUUUAAUAAAGCUGAUACACAAAACCUAAGGCACAAACUGGGAUUAGAUACCCCACUAUGCUUAGUCAUAAAUUAAAAUAGUUGAAUAACAAAACUACUUGCCAGAGAACUACUAGCUACUGCUUAAAACUCAAAGGACUUGGCGGUGCUCUAAACCCACCUAGAGGAGCCUGUUCUAUAAUCGAUAAACCCCGAUACACCCAACCCUAUCUUGCCAAUACAGCCUAUAUACCGCCAUCGUCAGCCCACCUUAAAAAAGAUAUAAAGUAAGCAAAAUUAUACUUCAUAAAAACGUUAGGUCAAGGUGUAGCAUAUGAUAGGGAAAGAAAUGGGCUACAUUAUCUAAUUUAGAUAAAAAACGAAUCACACUAUGAAAUUGAAUGUGCCUGAAGGAGGAUUUAGUAGUAAAUUAAGAAUAGAGUGCUUAAUUGAAUUAGGCAAUAGGGUGCGCACACACCGCCCAUCACCCUCCUCAACUCAAUCUACAAAAAUACCUAAUAAUUUACUUAAGUAAAGAGGAGAAAAGUCGUAACACGGUAAGUGUACUGGAAAGUGCACUUGGAAUAUCAAAAUG
rnacentral:ncRNA from 1 species